rnacentral:rRNA from 1 species
GACGAACGCUGGCGGCGUGCUUAACACAUGCAAGUCGAACGAGUGGCGAACGGGCGAGUAACACGUGGGUGACCUGCCCUGCACUUCGGGAUAAGCCUGGGAAACUGGGUCUAAUACCGGAUAGUGUGGGAUGGGCGUGCGGCAUCUCAGCUGGUUGGUGGGGUAAGGGCUACCAAGGCGCGAGGGGUAGCCGGCCUGAGAGGGUGGACGGCCACAUGGGACCUGAGACACGGCCCAGACUCCUACGGGAGGCAGCAGUGGGGAAUAUUGCACAAUGAGCGCAAGCCUGAUGCAGCCAUGCCGCUUGGAUGAAGAAGGCCUUAGGGUUGUAAAGUACUUUCAGCGGGGAGGCGUUACCCGCAGAGGAAGCACCGGCUAACUCCGUGCCAGCAGCCGCGGUAAUAC